rnacentral:rRNA from 1 species
CACGUAGGCACCAAGCGUUGUCCGGAUUUAUUGGGCGUAAAGCGCGUGUAGGCGGUUUCUUAAGUCUGAUGUGAAAGCCCUGGGCUCAACCCAGGAAGUGCAUUGGAUACUGGGAGACUUGAAUACGGGAGAGGGUAGUGGAAUUCCUAGUGUAGGAGUGAAAUCCGUAGAUAUUAGGAGGAACACCGGUGGCGAAGGCGGCUACCUGGACCGAUAUUGACGCUGAGACGCGAAAGCGUGGGGAGCAAACAGG